GACGAACGCUGGCGGCGUGCUUAACACAUGCAAGUCGAACGCUGAAGCUCAGCUUUUGUUGGGUGGAUGAGUGGCGAACGGGUGAGUAACACGUGAGUAACCUGCCCCCUUCUUUGGGAUAACGCCCGGAAACGGGUGCUAAUACUGGAUAUUCACUGGUCUUCGCAUGGGGGUUGGUGGAAAGGGUUUUUCUGGUGGGGGAUGGGCUCGCGGCCUAUCAGCUUGUUGGUGGGGUGAUGGCCUACCAAGGCUUUGACGGGUAGCCGGCCUGAGAGGGUGACCGGGCACAUUGGGACUGAGAUACGGCCCAGACUACUACGGGGGGCAGCAGUGGGGAAUAUUGCACAAUGGGCGAAAGACUGAUGCAGCGACGCCGCGUGAGGGAUGGAGGCCGUCGGGUUGUGAACCUCUUUCGCUCAUGGUCAAGCCGCAACAAUGGUUGUGGUGAGGGUAGUGGGUAAAGAAGCGCCGGCUAACUACGUG
rnacentral:rRNA from 1 species